rnacentral:rRNA from 1 species
CCUACGGGCGGCAGCAGUGGGGAAUAUUGCACAAUGGGGGAAACCCUGAUGCAGCGACGCCGCGUGAGUGAAGAAGUAAUUCGUUAUGUAAAGCUCUAUCAGCAGGGAAGCAAAUGACGGUACCUGAGCAAGAAGCCCCGGCUAACUAUGGGACAGCAGCCGCGGUAAGACGCAGGGGGCAAGCGCUAUCCGGAUUUACUGGGUGUAAAGGGAGCGUAGACGGCAGUGCAAGUCUGGAGUGAAAGGCGGGGGCUAAACCCCCGGACUGCUCUGGAAACUGUACGGCUGGAGUGCAGGAGAGGUAAGUGGAAUUCCUAGUGUAGCGGUGAAAUGCGUAGAUAUUAGGAGGAACACCAGUGGCGAAGGCGGCUUACUGGACUGUAACUGACGUUGAGGCUCGAAAGCGUGGGGAGCAAACAGGAUUAGAUACCCGAGUAGUC